rnacentral:rRNA from 1 species
AUUGAACGCUGGCGGCAGGCCUAACACAUGCAAGUCGAGCGGAUGAAGGGAGCUUGCUCCUGGAUUCAGCGGCGGACGGGUGAGUAAUGCCUAGGAAUCUGCCUGGUCGUGGGGGAUAACGUCCGGAAACGGGCGCUAAUACCGCAUACGUCCUGAGGGAGAAAGUGGGGGAUCUUCGGACCUCACGCUAUCAGAUGAGCCUAGGUCGGAUUAGCUAGUUGGUGGGGUAAAGGCCUACCAAGGCGACGAUCCGUAACUGGUCUGAGAGGAUGAUCAGUCACACUGGAACUGAGACACGGUCCAGACUCCUACGGGAGGCAGCAGUGGGGAAUAUUGGACAAUGGGCGAAAGCCUGAUCCAGCCAUGCCGCGUGUGUGAAGAAGGUCUUCGGAUUGUAAAGCACUUUAAGUUGGGAGGAAGGGCAGUAAGUUAAUACCUUGCUGUUUUGACGUUACCAAAAGAAUAAGCACCGGCUAACUUCGUG